ACUAUAAUGAACAAAAAUAACUAAAACUAUCAAAUACAUAAAACAACAAAAAACUGUAAACAAGAUUUUAUUCUUAUCACUAAAUAAAUAACAUUUACAAAACAAAUAAUUACAUAAAUCACUUAAAACUAGCUUAAAAUGAAAUAGAUCAAUAUUACAGUGACCUUGCUAAUGGUUCGUUUAUCGGUCGCGCGGGACCCUAAGCAGCUUUCUCUUCAAUCCUUUGCGUCUGGGCAUUGGUCAAAAACAUCGUAUGAUUUUAAUGGGCGGCGCCUAAAGCCGUUUGACCUUUAAAAAUCGUCGGCCAGGGCACGUCUCCCCGGCUUCAUUUUGACAAACCAACUUGAAAAGUACGGCCGCGUACCUGCCUAUCGCCGCCGCGCCGAUUCAAUUUCAAAUAAUUUAUAAUAUUUAGUGCAAAUGCAAUAAAUACAGAUUGCAAAGUACAAAUUUCUGCGAGUACAAGUUAUUACGCCAUAUUUCAUAAAUAAGUACGAUAAAACUGUGUAGUGAAUACAUCCCCGAUAGGGGAUCGAAUUUGGGGACUAACGCGGAGGCAAACGCGUACCAUCUGCGGCUCAAGAUCCAAGGCGCCUCCAGCUGACAGCGACUACGUCCAGCACCUACGGCCACCAUCUACCUUCGGCCGCCCUCGCCAGGGAAGUCACGGACCGCGAAAGCAUACCCACAGUCGGGCAUCCGAACCCCGCCCUCAUAUUUUUUGUAAAAGUAAAUAAACCGUAAUUUUAUCUGUGUACGCUAGUGUUGAUUAUUUAUUAAUUUCCCGCUACGCGACACUGGCGCCUCAACUUGGUUUUUUUAUGGACUGAUGGGUUUGCUUUCGUAGUAAGUAGCUGUGUGUUGUGUGCUUUCUUUUGUGUAAAUUCCUUCUUGUUUUUUUGGUUUGUUUUUUUUUUGUUGCCUAUUUUGGUGUGCUGUUACCUUUAUAUUAACGCUUUUUUUAAUAUCUAUUAAUUAAGCUUUGUAACAGUCGGAGUUAUUUUAUUUUCUAUUUAGAAUAGACGCUACGAAGUACUGGUUCAUCACUUAACCUAUUACAUAAUUUAAUAUCUCAAAACAAUUUUAAUAAUUUUAAAGGUUCCGUACAUAUUUUUUGAGCCGUGGUUUGAAUUUUUGUCGAAUUAAUUUGGUUUUACAUAAUUAUUUUUGAAGGUUCCGCAUAAUUUAAGUAAUUUUUAAAAUGAGUCAUCAAGUUAAAUUUUUAUCAUUGCAAAAAUCGGAACUAGAGUAUGAAGUUCUCAUAAGAGGUUCUACUCCUGCUGCUACUGUUUUUGAUUUGCGCAAACAAAUUGCAAAAUUAGGACCGAUAUUUCCUUCUGAGGACAUUUUAGAUAGUCCCUUGGAGCCUGCUGACGAUAUAAAAGGUGUUGAAGAGACUCUCAGCAAGGUUAAAAACAAUCUAAAAUCAAAUUUAGAUAGGAAUACUUUGUUACGUACACAAAACUAUCUAAACCAUUUGUACCACCGCAUAAACCGAAUCAUUAGCAAUAAAGAUACGGACGAACAAUUUGAAUUUUGCGUGUCUGAAUUUAAAAAGUAUAAAGAUAUUUUAAAAAGUAAUACAGAUACGGUUACCGAUCCUUUAAUAUCAACAAGCAAUUCAGAAUGUCCGACUACCUCUGCUGCCCCACCUCUAAAUAUUUCUGUCACUUGUGAUCGUGGAGGAGCAGUAGACUUAGGUAGGCUUAAAUAUGACGGUAAGUCUUGCGUACGAGCGUUCAUUCAACGUCUUACUGAAUUUUGCGUCGCUAGGAGUAUCUCUGAUACUAAGGCCAUGUCUUAUGCCACUGAAAUUUUCACCGGAGACGCACUUCAUUGGUUUAGAAGUGUUAGGGAUCGUGUGUCUAAUUGGAGCGAGCUAAUUACCCUGUUGAGACAAGAUUUUGACCAGUCUGACUUUGAUUACAGACUGCUGUCAGAAAUUCGUAACAGAACACAAGGCGAAUCGGAAAACAUCACGAUUUAUUUGUCGAUCAUGUCCGGAUUGUUUUCGCGUCUUUCGAAAACUCUGUCGGAAGAAGAUAAAUUAGAAAUAAUCCUCCAUAACAUUAGACCUUGUUACGCUAGCACUUUGGCAUCAGCUUAUGAAAUCAGGACCCUCGAAUCGUUACAAUCGCUUUGUCGUAACUAUGAAGCUAUCCAAGCACGUCUCGCUAAUUUCCGCGAGCCUAGUGUUGCGACAUCAAACACCUUAGCUCCUGAGUUCGCAUAUAAUAAAAACCGAUUUAAUUACAAAACACAAAAUAAUCCUAAUAGUUACUCAAAAUUUAAUAAACCUAUAAACAACACAAAUUAUAAUCAAAAUAAAACCUAUACAAAUAAUUACACUAAUAAUAAAAACAAUUCAAAUCAAAAUUAUGUACAUGCAAUCGAGUCUCCUAAGGUUCCUUAUUGUCCUAGGUGUCGUGUGAACACUCACCAUAUCAGUCAAUGUACUGAAAAUAAAAACAAUAUAUUUUGUUUUAAAUGUGGCAGACCGAAUGUCAAGAAACCUCAAUGUCCAGAUUGUAACAAAAUGGAGCCUUCAGCUUCAAAAAACUGAAUGGGCUGAAUUGUAGUAGUACAAAAAGUAAUUUUGAUAAAACUGAUUGGGAAAACUGGCUUCAAACACUCAAAUUAUUUUUCAGUUCAUAUAAAACUGCUACAAUUCGCAGCAAACCAGUUAAUGAUACGAGACCUUUUGUCACAGUCAAUAUAAAUAAUAUUUCUUUUACUGGUCUACUUGACUCAGGUUCCGCAGUAACCAUUUUGGGUGACAACUCUCAUGUUUUAUUAGAGAACAACGGUCUUAAACUGCUUACUGAUACCUGUAUUCUUGUUACAGCUGCAGGUGGUCAGUCUUUACAAAGCAUAGGUCACAUUAAUAUUCCUGUACAUUUUGAGAACCAGUUUCACAUUAUUGACGCUGUAGUUGUGCCACAAAUAGAAACCUCUCUUAUUUUGGGUGUUGACUUUUGGCGAAAGUUUCAAAUAUGUCCUAAGUAUUUGGGUAGCAUCUCGUUCGGUACAGUCAGCGACGAUGACGACACUACUAAUGAAACUCUAAUUCACGGCUAUGACAAUUUAUGUGAGUCUGAAAAACUUAUAGCGGAUAACAUCAUAGAUCAAUUCAAAGACAUUUCAUUUGAACGUAGGGGUCUAGGACAAACUUCUUUGAUUACCCAUCGAAUUGAUACCGGUGAUGCUCAACCAAUCCGGCAACGUUACUACCGCAUGUCUCCGGAGAAACAACGAAUCCUGGUUGAGCAGGUCGAUGAGAUGUUGGCUCUUGACGUGGUUGAGCCUUGUGAAAGUGCCUGGUCUUCCCCAGUCCUUUUAGUAACAAAAAAGAAUGGUCAGCCGAGGUUUUGCCUCGAUAGUCGCAAGCUCAACUCAGUUACCAAGCGUGAUGCUUAUAAUUUGCCAUACAUUUCUGAGAUCUUGGAUAACCUUAGAGACGCUCGUUAUCUUAGCAGUAUCGAUUUAUCCAAAUCUUUUUGGCAGAUUAAUAUAGCUCUCGAGGAUCGUGAUAAGACUGCAUUUUAUGUUCCGGGUAGAGGUACACUCAGGUUUAAAAGAACCGCGUUCGGUUUAACUAACGCACCCGCGACUCAACAGCGUUUAGUAGAUCUUUUGUUCGGCGAGUUUGGCCUUAAUGUCUUCGCAUAUUUGGAUGACAUAAUAAUUGUAAGCAAUGACUAUAAUAGUCACGUGACACUCUUGUUAAAGGUCUUAGAUAAAUUAAAACAAGCUAAUCUCACCGUGAAUUUAGAAAAAUGCAAGUUUUUCCGUAGCCAACUUAAAUAUCUGGGUUAUGUCGUCGAUAGUCGUGGACUGCGCACAGAUCCCGAGAAGGUCGAGGCUAUAUUAAACUAUCCAACACCUACUAGCCGAAAGGACCUUAAACGUUUUCUUGGCACAGCAACAUGGUACCGUCGCUUCGUACCAAAUUUUAGUACAAUUGCUGGCCCUUUAAAUAAAUUGACUUCUAAUAAAAAAGGCACACCUCCAUUUAAGUGGACUCCGGAGGCUGAUGUGUCCUUUUUAAAACUAAAAGAAUGUUUAGUUUCUGCUCCUGUUCUAACGUGUCCUGAUUAUGCUCAGCCUUUCGAGGUACACACGGAUGCGAGUAACUAUGGGGUAGGCGCUAUGCUCACACAAACAAAAGACGGUAAGGAGCAUCCUAUCGCUUAUAUGAGUAAGUCUUUAUCUGCGGCUGAGAAAAAUUACAGCAUUACUGAGCGCGAAACUUUAGCUGUGGUAACUGCUCUAGAGCACUGGCGGUGUUAUUUAGAGAACGGCAAAACUUUCACUGUCUAUACAGAUCACAGCGCCUUAAAGUGGUUCCUCUCUCUGAGUAAUCCUACUGGUCGCUUAGCUCGUUGGGGAGUACGGUUGUCAUCUUUUAACUUCGACAUUAAACAUCGUCGUGGUGUAGACAACGUUAUACCCGACGCCCUAUCGCGGUCUGUGCCAGUUAGUGCUAUCUCCUCCUCCGAUAUAAAGGACACUAAAGACGAGUGGUACAAAACAAUUUUUAACGGUUGCCUUAACAGACCACAAGAUUUUCCAAAUUAUUUAAUUAAAAACGACAUUUUGUAUAGGUUGACUAAAGUUAAAUGUAAAUUGCAAAAUGAAUUUUCGUGGAAGAUCGUAGUUCCUUCCGAAUUACGUGAAAAUGUUAUUCUAGAAAAUCACUCGCAACCAACAGCUGCACAUUUGGGCAUAUUUAAAACUUACCAUCGCCUCAUGUUGCGUUACUUUUGGCCAGGAAUGCACAGUGAUGUAGUUCAGUUUGUUGGUUCUUGUCAAAAAUGUCUUGAAUAUAAAACUUCUAAUCAUCAAAUACUUGGAGUCAUGGGUCGUCCAAAACAAUGCUCUCGUCCUUUUCAAAUGGUCUCAAUUGACCUCAUGGGCCCUCUGCCUGUUAGUCGAAAACAAAAUAGUUACAUUUUAGUUGUGACCUGCUGUUUUUCAAAAUUUUGUCUGAUUUAUCCAAUUAGAAAAGCAACGUCAGAUGUAAUUAUAAAAAUUUUAGAGGAUUCCGUUUUCCUUGUCCACGGAAUUCCUCAAACUAUAAUUGUCGAUAAUGGUUCACAAUUUAUUAGCCGUGACACAGCUGUGUUAUUUAAAAAAUAUAACAUACCCAACAUUUAUUUUACGCCGAAAUAUACACCACAAGUUAACACAGUUGAACGUUACAAUAGAACUAUUAUCACUUGCAUAUCAACAUUUGUCGAAAAUGAUCACAGAACUUGGGACGUUUUUAUUCCAAAGGUUCAAUUUGCGAUAAAUAACUCGGUAAACGAGGCUACUGGUUUCACGCCAUCUUUCUUAGUCUAUGGUAGGGAACUUGUCACCUGCGGUACCCACUAUACAGACUCAGAAUUAGGCAACGAAAUCUUAUUUUUACCUCGGGAUAUUUAUGCCGAAAACUUAGGCUGCCUUUCUAGUAUUUUUAAUGACGUACAGAAAAAGUUAUGGCAUGCUCACGAAAAAAAUACUUCACACUAUAAUCUGCGUCGAAAGCCAGCAGAGUUUAAUGUGGGAGAUAUUGUUAUGAAGCGCGCUUACGUAUUAAGUGACAAAGACAAAUAUUUUAGUAAAAAGUUAGCACCAAAAUUCAUUAAAUGUCGUGUGACUCAUAAAAAAUCGCCUUUGGUGUAUGUCCUAGAGGAUAUGUCAGGUAAAGAUUUGGGCACUUGGCACAUUAAGGAUUUAAAAUUAGUUGGCCUAAAUAAAUAAAUAUUUUUUUGUCGUUAAUUAAUGUUUAUUAUAAUAACUUUACCUCGUAAAAAAAAAAAAAGAACAUCUUAAGUAUUAUUAGUUUGUAUGGGUUACCAGUUCAAUGUAUAGCAGGAACCUAUUUAUGUAAGAAUGCGUCAUUAUUCAUUAUAUUAAAGAAUAAUGUUGCCAUAAUGAAAGCGUGACGUAUGAGAGCAAUUUUAUGAAAGGAUUAAUACAAGCAUCGACUUAUUACUUUUAUGCGGAUUUUUUUUAUAAAAAAAAAUCCUUGGUGACGCGGGGGGGUAAUGUAACGUUAUACGUCACAUAAUUACUAUAAUGAACAAAAAUAACUAAAACUAUCAAAUACAUAAAACAACAAAAAACUGUAAACAAGAUUUUAUUCUUAUCACUAAAUAAAUAACAUUUACAAAACAAAUAAUUACAUAAAUCACUUAAAACUAGCUUAAAAUGAAAUAGAUCAAUAUUACAGUGACCUUGCUAAUGGUUCGUUUAUCGGUCGCGCGGGACCCUAAGCAGCUUUCUCUUCAAUCCUUUGCGUCUGGGCAUUGGUCAAAAACAUCGUAUGAUUUUAAUGGGCGGCGCCUAAAGCCGUUUGACCUUUAAAAAUCGUCGGCCAGGGCACGUCUCCCCGGCUUCAUUUUGACAAACCAACUUGAAAAGUACGGCCGCGUACCUGCCUAUCGCCGCCGCGCCGAUUCAAUUUCAAAUAAUUUAUAAUAUUUAGUGCAAAUGCAAUAAAUACAGAUUGCAAAGUACAAAUUUCUGCGAGUACAAGUUAUUACGCCAUAUUUCAUAAAUAAGUACGAUAAAACUGUGUAGUGAAUACAUCCCCGAUAGGGGAUCGAAUUUGGGGACUAACGCGGAGGCAAACGCGUACCAUCUGCGGCUCAAGAUCCAAGGCGCCUCCAGCUGACAGCGACUACGUCCAGCACCUACGGCCACCAUCUACCUUCGGCCGCCCUCGCCAGGGAAGUCACGGACCGCGAAAGCAUACCCACAGUCGGGCAUCCGAACCCCGCCCUCAUAUUUUUUGUAAAAGUAAAUAAACCGUAAUUUUAUCUGUGUA